CUGGAAUUCAUGGUGCCUUUCUUUGGUCUACACUCUUUGCAGCAUUGGCCAAAGCUAAAAUCCAGCUGCCUAUCGGGGGUGACAGAUGUGGACCUUUCAACAUCUCUAUUCAUGCUUUUUGCCACAGAAGCGAAACGUUGCCAUUGUCUUGGUUCUUGAAAAUCUUCAUUCUUCUGCAACUCUGAAAAUUAAAGCAAGGAUAAUUUGAAAAUGGAUGCUUAAGUUUAAUAGGCACUAACAUCAAGGCAAUCCAAGAAGCAGCAGGGAUGCCCAAACAUGAUCUGACAGUUAUCCUAUGUUGUAAUAAUGCCAUAAUUCUUUUUGUCAUUUAUUCAGUGAAUAGUUCUUGGUGGCCUGCAGCAAAACCCCUAUGGCUUGUUGAUGGUAUUCAUUAAAUUAAAUGUUCAGUGACUACUAGCAA